rnacentral:tRNA from 1 species
CAGGCCCAAGUACAAUGCCUGCAGUGGCAAGAAGGGCCGCUAA